rnacentral:rRNA from 1 species
GAUGAACGCUAGCGGCAGGCUUAAUACAUGCAAGUCGUGGGGCAGCAUGAGUGUAGCAAUACAUUUGAUGGCGACCGGCGAACGGGUGCGGAACACGUACACAACCUUCCUUUAAGUGGGGAAUAGCCCAGAGAAAUUUGGAUUAAUACCCCGUAACAUAUAGAAGUGGCAUCACUUUUAUAUUAUAGCAGCAAUGCGCUUGAAGAUGGGUGUGCGGCGGAUUAGAUAGUUGGCGGGGUAACGGCCCACCAAGUCGACGAUCAGUAACUGGUGUGAGAGCACGACCAGUCACACGGGCACUGAGACACGGGCCCGACUCCUACGGGAGGCAGCAGUAAGGAAUAUUGGUCAAUGGACGCAAGUCUGAACCAGCCAUGCCGCGUGGAGGAUGAAGGUCCUCUGGAUUGUAAACUUCUUUUAUCUGGGAAGAAAUCUACCUUUUCUUGGGUAGUUGACGGUACCAGAUGAAUAAGCACCGGCUAACUCCGUGCCAGCAGCCGCGGUAACAC